rnacentral:rRNA from 1 species
UGGGGAAUCUUGGACAAUGGGCGCAAGCCUGAUCCUGCAAUGCCGCGUGCAGGAUGAAGGCCUUCGGGUUGUAAACCGCUUUUGUCAGGGAAGAAGUCCUUUGAGCUAAUACCUCGGGGGGAUGACGGUACCUGAAGAAUAAGCACCGGCUAACUACGUGCCAGCAGCCGCGGUAAUACGUAGGGUGCAAGCGUUAAUCGGAAUUACUGGGCGUAAAGCGUGCGCAGGCGGUUAUGCAAGACCGAUGUGAAAUCCCCGGGCUCAACCUGGGAACUGCAUUGGUGACUGGCAGGCUAGAGUAUGGCAGAGGGGGGUAGAAUUCCACGUGUAGCAGUGAAAUGCGUAGAUAUUACAUGGAAUACCAAUUGCGAAGGCAGGUUACUACUAAUGGAUUGACGCUGAUGGACGAAAGCGUGGGGAGCGAACA